rnacentral:ncRNA from 1 species
GCAAACACCUUGAUUGGGAGUAUUAAGGAAUCAUUUAUUGUUUAGAGAGCUGUCGGUUGGUGAAAGACAGUCGAUAAAAUCCCCAACUCGCCCAUAAGUGGUAAGGCUGAUCAUUCAUUAGGUCUUAACGGUUGACUUCCGUAAUCGGUUGUAAAGUGGAUUUGUUUGUCAUUGUAAACAAAUCAAAAAGAGUGGUACCACGCAGGUUAAGCCUUCGUCUCUUAU